rnacentral:rRNA from 14 species
AAACAGGUUGGUGGUUUAUUAACAUCGGGGGUUCAUAAUAAUUCGGCUCCAAGAAUUUGGCAAGUAACUUGUAUAACUUUGGGAUAACAAUGGUGUUUAUCGGGCGACUGUAUAGCAAAUACACAGGGUUUAGUUAAAGAUGUUUAUAUUUUAGAGCUGAUAUGUGACCAGUAUUUAUAGGCUCAUAGU